UGGGGAAUAUUGGACAAUGGGCGAAAGCCUGAUCCAGCCAUGCCGCGUGUGUGAAGAAGGCCUUUUGGUUGUAAAGCACUUUAAGCGAGGAGGAGGCUACUUAGAUUAAUACUCUAGGAUAGUGGACGUUACUCGCAGAAUAAGCACCGGCUAACUCUGUGCCAGCAGCCGCGGUAAUACAGAGGGUGCGAGCGUUAAUCGGAUUUACUGGGCGUAAAGCGUGCGUAGGCGGCUUUUUAAGUCGGAUGUGAAAUCCCUGAGCUUAACUUAGGAAUUGCAUUCGAUACUGGGAAGCUAGAGUAUGGGAGAGGAUGGUAGAAUGCCAGGUGUAGCGGUGAAAUGCGUAGAGAUCUGGAGGAAUACCGAUGGCGAAGGCAGCCAUCUGGCCUAAUACUGACGCUGAGGUACGAAAGCAUGGGGAGCAAACAGG
rnacentral:rRNA from 1 species